AAGGAAGAUCAAAACAUAUACUCAAAAGAAGAUUAAAAGUUCAGAGUUCCUACAUCCAAAGUCUUCACGAGAAAUAUGAAUUGAUCUCCAACCAUGGAAGAAUUCAACAUGGAUUUUGAAAAUCAAGAUCAUGGAACAUGAUCUCAUGGAUUGAAGAUUGGAAGGGAUCUCAUUCUGCAUAUGAAGAAAUCAAGAUCCAGAGAAUUUGGGAGCUUGUCCAAGGUCCCACAGUCUGUCUAGAUUAUCACCAAGUCUAAUUCUAUCACUUAGACAUCAGGAUGCUCAAUCAGCUUUCUCAAAGGAGACACCAAAUUCACCAAGGAUAAGGUAUAGCUAUUUGGUACAGAAACUUUUUGAACAAAGCCAAUAACUUUUUUUGCUUGACAGAGCAAAUCGAUAGCUUAUGCUAAGAGGCAUGGCAUGAGAUGGUUCUAUCCCACUCUCAUUACAUAGAGAGAAUGUUAGCAGAUGGAUGGACCCUCUUCCAUCACAACUUGGCUACAAAGACCAAAGAAGAAUGACUUCUGAGCCGAUGCAAACUUUCAAGAAGUGUUUCCAAUACCAAGGCCUGCCAGAAAGGGAGCAGUUGCUGGAAGGCAUGUAAUGUUUCUGUUCAAAAAAAGAAGCAACACACACACACACACACACACGGAAUGCAGGUGAGCUCAUAAAGACCAAGAGCAAAAGCAACUCAUGCACCAACAAGUUUCUCCAUGUUUUCCUGCAGGGUGGAUAUGCUUGUUCAUACCUGUCAGCAUACAUAUUAUGCACAAUUAUCUGGAUUUACAUUCCUUUGGCCUGGGAGAUAGAGCCAAGCUGCAAAAAGUCAAUACAGGGAUGUUACUGAUUUCAUAGUUUGCAAUAAAAGUCUCCCCCAUGAAUGGGAUGACUAGUGAAUUCCUACAGUGCAAGGAUACUGCCUCUUUUAAUGUAUAAAUCUGUUCAAAAUCAAGCUCUCAGUUUGGCUCUCCAAGAGAGCACAAGGCGAGAACCAUUUCUCACCAUGUAUGGACUAGAGUGGUUGAAAAUAAAAAUUUUAAUUAAAAUUUAUGGUUCUGCCUGCCUGAAAGCAGUCAGCUUGAUGGGAAAAGCUGACACCAGCAAGGUGCCUAUUGCUGUAACUAGAAACCCUUUUCCUUGUAGCUUAAAUAGUAGAUCUUUCCUUUG